rnacentral:rRNA from 1 species
GAUGAACGCUAGCUACAGGCUUAACACAUGCAAGUCGAGGGGCAGCACUAGGUAGCAAUAUUGAGGUGGCGACCGGCGCACGGGUGCGUAACGCGUAUCCAACCUUCCCGAUACUCUUGGAUAGCCUUCCGAAAGGGAGAUUAAUACAAGAUGGUGUUUCAAUUCCGCAUGUUAUUGAAACUAAAGAUUUAUCGGUAUCGGAUGGGGAUGCGUGACAUUAGAUAGUAGGCGGGGUAACGGCCCACCUAGUCUACGAUGUCUAGGGGUUCUGAGAGGAAGGUCCCCCACACUGGAACUGAGACACGGUCCAGACUCCUACGGGAGGCAGCAGUGAGGAAUAUUGGUCAAUGGUCGGAAGACUGAACCAGCCAAGUAGCGUGAAGGAUGAAGGUUCUAUGGGUUGUAAACUUCUUUUAUACGGGAAUAAAACACCUUACGUGUAGGGUCUUGUAUGUACCGUAUGAAUAAGCAUCGGCUAACUCCGUGCCAGCAGCCGCAGUAACAC